GGGUGUUGCUGUUUUUGUUGUUGGUUAUUUGUUUUUAUCUCUUCCUCUUGGUUUAAGUGGAUAUUACCAUACAAAAUACAGAUUGGUGACCAGCACGCCCCUGGAAGUUCCCUCCCCACCGCACUGUGAUAGGAGACAGACAUCCUACACAUUGUACACCUUGGAAGAAGAGGACAGAGGAAGAAUGUGCUGAAAUAACACCUGUCAAGUGGCAGAAGAAAAAUCUCGCUGAACUGAGAAUAUUGUACCCAGGUGGACUCCAGACUGUAGGCCAGGAGCGUCAGUAACCCAGCCCUGAGAAUCAGCCACUCUGCAGAGGACAUGGCCUGAGAAGCCUCUCUCCUGAUAACUUUCUUGUAGAAAUUGCUGCUGUCCUUUGCCAACUUUCAAAUUCAGUUUCGUC
rnacentral:lncRNA from 1 species